UGCAAGUCGAACGCUUCUUUUUCCACCGGAGCUUGCUCCCACCGGAAAAAGAGGAGUGGCGAACGGGUGAGUAACACGUGGGUAACCUGCCCAUCAGAAGGGGAUAACACUUGGAAACAGGUGCUAAUACCGUAUAACAAUCGAAACCGCAUGGUUUUGAUUUGAAAGGCGCUUUCGGGUGUCGCUGAUGGAUGGACCCGCGGUGCAUUAGCUAGUUGGUGAGGUAACGGCUCACCAAGGCGACGAUGCAUAGCCGACCUGAGAGGGUGAUCGGCCACAUUGGGACUGAGACACGGCCCAAACUCCUACGGGAGGCAGCAGUAGGGAAUCUUCGGCAAUGGACGAAAGUCUGACCGAGCAACGCCGCGUGAGUGAAGAAGGUUUUCGGAUCGUAAAACUCUGUUGUUAGAGAAGAACAAGGAUGAGAGUAACUGUUCAUCCCUUGACGGUAUCUAACCAGAAAGCCACGGCUAACUACGUGCCAGC
rnacentral:rRNA from 1 species